rnacentral:rRNA from 1 species
GACGAACCGAGCGAACGUUGUUCGGAAUCACUGGGCUUAAAGGGCGCGUAGGCGGGGUCGUAAGUCUGUGGUGAAAUCCUCCGGCUCAACCGGAGAACUGCCUCGGAUACUGCGGCUCUCGAGGGUGAUAGGGGUAUGCGGAACUAUCGGUGGAGCGGUGAAAUGCGUUGAUAUCGAUAGGAACUCCGGUGGCGAAGGCGGCAUACUGGAUCACUUCUGACGCUGAGGCGCGAAAGCCAGGGGAGCAAACGGGG